GAUGAACGCUGACAGAAUGCUUAACACAUGCAAGUCAUUGGCGAAGCUGCGCUUGCGCAGUCUAGCCAAGGCGGACGGGUGAGUAACGCGUAAGGAACUUGCCCUGCAGACAGGGAUAACAGACGGAAACGACUGAUAACACCUGGUAUUGUCAGGCUGGCGCAUGCCGGCCUGAUGAAAGGAGACACUGCAGGAGAGCCUUGCGUCCUAUUAGCUAGUUGGUGGGGUAACGGCCCACCAAGGCGAUGAUAGGUAGCCGGCCUGAGAGGGUGAACGGCCACAAGGAGACUGAGAUACGGCACUUACUCCUGCGGGAGGCAGGAGUGGGGAAUAUUGGACAAUGGGGGCAACCCUGAUCCAGCAAUUCUGUGUGCACGAAGAAGGUUUUCGGAUUGUAAAGUGCUUUCAGCAGGGAAGAAGAAAGUGACGGUACCUGCAGAAGAAGCGACGGCUAAAUACGUG
rnacentral:rRNA from 1 species